rnacentral:piRNA from 1 species
UGCCCUUGGACUGCCUUACAAAGGG